rnacentral:rRNA from 1 species
GAUGAACGCUGGCGGCGUGCUUAACACAUGCAAGUCGAACGGUGAAGCAGGAGCUUGCUCUUGUGGAUCAGUGGCGAACGGGUGAGUAACACGUGAGCAACCUGCCCCUGACUCUGGGAUAAGCGCUGGAAACGGCGUCUAAUACUGGAUAUGUGAUGUGACCGCAUGGUCUGCAUCUGGAAAGAAUUUCGGUUGGGGAUGGGCUCGCGGCCUAUCAGCUUGUUGGUGAGGUAAUGGCUCACCAAGGCGUCGACGGGUAGCCGGCCUGAGAGGGUGACCGGCCACACUGGGACGGAGACACGGGCCAGACUCCUACGGGAGGCAGCUGUGGGGAAUAUUGCACAAUGGGCGGAAGCCUGAUGCAGCAACGCCGCGUGAGGGAUGACGGCCUUCGGGUUGUAAACCUCUUUUAGCAGGGAAGAAGCGAAAGUGACGGUACCUGCAGAAAAAGCACCGGCUAACUACGUGCCAGCCGCCGCAGUAA